rnacentral:misc_RNA from 1 species
UCCGGGUUGAACCCGGCGGUCCCGCCAGACAUGGUAACUGGCAGCGAGGGUUGCGCUCGUUGCGGGACUUAACCCAACAUCUCACGACACGAGCUGACGUCAUCCCCACCUUACCAAGGCUUGACAUGCCAGGAACCCUGCAUUUCUGCAGGGUUCCUGGCAUGUCAAGCCUUGGUAAGGUUCUUCGCGUUGCGUCGAAUUAAACCACAUGCUCCGCUGCUUGUGCGGGCCCCCGUCAAUUCCUUUGAGUUUUAGCCUUGCGGCCGUACUCCCCAGGCGGGGCGCUUAAUGCGUUAGCUACGGCACGGAUCCCGUGGAAGGAAACCCACACCUAGCGCCCACCGUUUACGGCGUGGACUAC